AUGAACGCUGGCGGCGUGCCUAAUACCUGCCAGUCGAGCGAACGGACGAGAAGCUUGCUUCUCUGAUGUUAGCGGCGGACGGGUGAGUAACACGUGGAUAACCUACCUAUAAGACUGGGAUAACUUCGGGAAACCGGAGCUAAUACCGGAUAAUAUUUUGAACCGCAUGGUUCAAAAGUGAAAGACGGUCUUGCUGUCACUUAUAGAUGGAUCCGCGCUGCAUUAGCUAGUUGGUAAGGUAACGGCUUACCAAGGCAACGAUGCAUAGCCGACCUGAGAGGGGGAUCGGCCAAACUGGAACUGAGACACGGUCCAGAAUCCUACGGGAGGCAGCAGUAGGGAAUCUUCCGCAAUGGGCGAAAGCCUGACGGAGCAACGCCGCGUGAGUGAUGAAGGUCUUCGGAUCGUAAAACUCUGUUAUUAGGGAAGAACAUAUGUGUAAGUAACUGUGCACAUCUUGACGGUACCUAAUCAGAAAGCCACGGCUAACUACGU
rnacentral:rRNA from 1 species